GUGUCUGGAUGGGAAUGACCAGGUGUGUGGCUGCUGUGACACCAGCUGUGGGCUUGCAGGUGUAGCAGGUGCUCAAGGCACAGGUGUUCUGGGCCCCAUUGCUAUCCAACAGGGUCCUCCCACGGCUAGUCAGCCUGGACAGCUGUAUAUUCUGAAGGGAUAGGGACCAAGCUGCAUGGUCCCUGGAUGGAAGGAGCCACCUAACUUGCCUGGCAUAUUCUGCACUGCUUGUCAUGCUGUUGCUUCCCCCUAAUGAGGUGACUGCAGUUGACAGUGCCCUUGGUCUCCUGCACUUGUGACUGAAUAAAGCACUAAUAGUAUUUGA